rnacentral:lncRNA from 1 species
UUUGGGUAUAAACAAUUAUAGUUGUGUUGACAUAAAUGAAUGCAAUAGUUUCAAUAUACCUUGUAAUUGGACUAAUAGUGUUUGUAAAAAUACUGCAGGAAGUUAUAUAUGUUCAUGUGAAUCUGGCUGGAGUUUAAAUGAGAAUAAUGAUAGCUGUGUUGACAUAAAUGAAUGCAAAAGUUUGAAUAUACCUUGUAAUUGGACAAACAGUGUUUGUAAAAAUACUGCAGGAAGCUUCAUUUGUUCAUGUGCAUCUGGCUGGAGUUUAAAUGAGAACAAUGGUA